rnacentral:rRNA from 1 species
AUUGAACGCUGGCGGCAUGCUUUACACAUGCAAGUCGAACGGUAACAGGCCUUCGGGUGCUGACGAGUGGCGAACGGGUGAGUAAUGCAUCGGAACGUACCCAGAGGUGGGGGAUAACGCAGCGAAAGCUGUGCUAAUACCGCAUGUGAUCUGAGGAUGAAAGCGGGGGACCGAGCAGCAAUGUUUGGCCUCGCGCCUUUGGAGCGGCCGAUGUCGGAUUAGCUAGUUGGUGGGGUAAAGGCCUACCAAGGCGACGAUCCGUAGCUGGUCUGAGAGGACGACCAGCCACACUGUGACUGAGACACGGCCGAGACUCCUGCGGGAGGCAGCAGUGGGGAAUUUUGGACAAUGGGCGCAAGCCUGAUCCAGCAAUGCCGCGUGCAGGAAGAAGGCCUUCGGGUUGUAAACCGCUUUUGGCAGGAACGAAACGGUGUCCGCUAAUACCGGGCGCUAAUGACGGUACCUGCAGAAUAAGCACCGGCUAACUACGUG